CACGUAGUUGGCCGGUCCUUCUUCUGCAGGUACCGUCACUUUCGCUUCGUCCCUGCUGAAAGAGGUUUACAACCCGAAGGCCGUCAUCCCUCACGCGGCGUUGCUGGAUCAGGCUUUCGCCCAUUGUCCAAUAUUCCCCCACUGCUGCCUCCCGUAGGAGUCUGGGCCGUGUCUCAGUCCCAGUGUGGCCGGUCACCCUCUCAGGCCGGCUACCCGUCAAUGCCUUGGUGAGCCAUUACCUCACCAACAAGCUGAUAGGCCGCGAGCUCACCCUUCUCCGCCGGAGCUUUCCACCUCAGAACAUGUGAUCCAAGGUCAUAUUCGGCAUUAGCCAUCGUUUCCAAUGGUUAUUCCGAAGAGAAGGGCAGAUUGCUCACGUGUUACUCACCCGUUCGCCGCUCGUGUACCCCCGAAAGGGCCUUACCGCUCGACUUGCAUGUGUUAAGCACGCCGCCAGCGUGUCCUGAGUCCACGGAGUCAACCGUAC
rnacentral:rRNA from 1 species